rnacentral:rRNA from 1 species
AAAUUGAAGAGUUUGAUCAUGGCUCAGAUUGAACGCUGGCGGCAGGCCUAACACAUGCAAGUCGAACGGUAACAGGAAUCAGCUUGCUGAUUCGCUGACGAGUGGCGGACGGGUGAGUAAUGUCUGGGAAACUGCCUGAUGGAGGGGGAUAACUACUGGAAACGGUAGCUAAUACCGCAUAACGUCGCAAGACCAAAGAGGGGGACCU